GCGAAGGAUCAUUAUUGUAUAACACGAGACAUUGAGGCUGUCGCUGACGAAAGUCGUGCACGCCUUGGUGUUCUUACAUCCAUUUCACCCUUGUGCAUCAUCGCGUGGGCCGUUCCCAUUGGGAAUGGUCUACGUUUUUAAUACAAACCCCUAUUGAUGUGUAGAAUGUGUACUUUGCGAUAACAACGCAACUAAUACAACUUUCAACAACGGAUCUCUUGGCUCUCGCAUCGAUGAAGAACGCAGCGAAAUGCGAUAAGUAAUGUGAAUUGCAGAAUUCAGUGAAUCAUCGAAUCUUUGAACGCACCUUGCGCCCUUUGGUAUUCCGAAGGGCAUGCCUGUUUGAGUGUCAUUAAAUUAUCAACCUUGCUCGCUUUUACCGGCUUGAGUUAGGCUUGGACUUGAGGGCUUGCUGGCUUCCUUCAGUGGACGGUCUGCUCCCUUUAAAUGCAUUAGUGGGAUCUCUUGUGGACCGUCACUUGGUGUGAUAAUUAUCUAUGCCACUUGACCUUGAAGCAAACCUUAUGGGAAACCCGCUCAUAACCGUCUUCGGACAGCUUUUGACAUUUUGACCUCAAAUCAGUAGGACUACCCGCUGAACUUAAGCAUAUCAUAAGCGGAGGAAAAGAAACUAACAGGAUUCUCCUUAGUAACUGCGAGUGAGAGGGAGAGC
rnacentral:rRNA from 1 species